ACAGCGGCAGUUUCGCAGAAAGCCCUCAAGCCGACUUCAAAACAGUCUUGAAAACACCCUUCUCAAGCUCGAAGAAUGCCUGGAAUUCAGUGGCCUUUAUCCAACAUAAAGAUGUCCAACUCAGUUUUGACUGAGUUCCCUAUAGAAGAACCUCACAAUGUAGCCCCUGAAGACUGACAACACCCAGCAUGUUGACAAGCUCGGCCCCUCCCUUACAAAUGGGUCAGAAAGUGCAAAAAAAAAAAAGUUCUCCCAAACUCUGCCGAGCUGGGAGCACAGAUCUCGGCUCCCGGGCUGCGUGGGCUGACAAGCAUCUCCGGGGCUCUCAGGUGUGCGCACUUCUCAGGCUCCGCGGCUGAAACUCCGCCGGCAGCCCAGGCAGCGCCCACCUGCUCUCAACUAGCCAGCGUCUCCCUCGGCCCCCGUAAAUCCAAGGCCCCAGAUCCUGCCCGCUCCAGAUACUGCAAACGCUGACUGCGCCAACAGAAACUCAGAAGCCCUUUUCAUCUGGUUCAAGAGAAGCCCAACAGAAAGUGAAACAGCUCCCAUCCCUUGGCGGAGAAGGCUCCAGGCCAGGUCCCAGGAGAGCGAAUGGCAUGAAGGAGGACAGCCCGGCUCACAGGGUCCACAGCCUAAUCUGUGUCAUCAACUCAAAACUCAAUGGAAACACCUCUUUGGUCAUUGGAUAAAACCAUCUUCAAAAACACAAUGAUUUGAAUAUUUGAAAAUGAAUCACAUAGGCUGGAACUACAGCGUGAAGGUGAAUGGGCUUUUCCAAGCAAUAACUAGGAACAUGGAACCUGAACCAAACGCUUCAAUAAGGGUGCUGGAACAAUUAGCAGCCUUUUAAGAGAAAAAAAUUCUAGUUGACCUGACAUGAGAGAGUUGGGCUCUGCGAUUUCAAGGCCUGAGGUGGAGAGAUGCUGCAUGCAGGCUGGGGAAGUCCGGGGACAAUCUGCAGUGUCACAGGGCCAGUGCUGCUGAAGUAUGAGCAGAGCCCGUGAGCCACAACUACUGAGCCCAUGUGCCACAACUACUGAAGCCCACGUGCCUACAGCCCGUGCUCUGCAACAAGAGAAGCCACCACAAUGAGAAGCCCACACACCUCAACGAAGAGUAGCCCCCGCUCGCCGCAACUAGAUAAAGCCCACGCACAGCAACAAAGACCCAACGCAACCAAAAAUAAAUAAAUUUUUUUAAAAAAGG